UCGAGCGAGCCUAACUUCAAGUCGAGCGAGUUCGAGCCCUAAACGAGCCGCUUGAAAUUUUUAACAUCGUGCAAUCUCUAGUUUAAUUUUUAUAAAACAUUAUCUAAAAUUUAAUACAAAAAAUGUCGAAUAGUUCAACAUACAAAAUGAAUGUAUGAAAUACGAUAUUAUAAUAUUAAAAAAAAGAUUAGAAAAAGCGACUCUGCGAGGAAAUGAAAAAGAGAGAGAGCAAUUAGAGUAGGAUUUUGCCAGUUUGGUUUUGUGAGCCCAAUAAUUUAAAUUCGAUGUAAAUAUAAUUAAAAUACAUAAUAUAUAUUAUUUUAUAUAAUUAAAAUAUGGGCCUGUGGGCCUAGCUUCUGAAAAAGAGAUUUUAGUUUAGAGAAGUGAUUUUGGUUAAAAGCUGUAGAACGUUUAGCGAAGUUUAGAUAAAAGUGAUUUUUCUGAAGUGAUUUUAAAAAGCUGUUUGCCGAAUUUUUUUUGAUGUUUGCAUAAAUUAAUAUUUUUAUUAAAUUUUAUUUUAAAAUAAUUUAAAAUCUAAAUUUAAUUUAAAAUAUUUAUCAAAAUCCGUAAAACACUAGAACUUAAAAGCUUGUGGGUUUGGGCUAGUUGUUGAAUAUAUAAGUUUAGUAUGUCUCUCAUGAUUUCUAAAGUAUAGAAGCUUUUGUACUUGUAAGUUGUUUUUAAUGGUAGAAUAUUUAAUUCNUUUAAAAUAAUUAUGAAAUUUAAAAUUUAAAAAUUUAAAUUUAAAUUUAAAAAUAUAUAUAAUUAUAAAUUUUAAAAUAUAAAAUUUUAAUAUAUAAAAAUAUAAAUUAAAAUUAAAAUUUCAAACUUUAAAUUUAGAAAUUAAAAAUUAAAAUUUAAAAUCUAAAUUUAAAUUUUGAAAUUUAAAAAUUAAAAUUUAAAAUUUAAAUGUAAAAAUAUAAAUAAUUAUGAAAUUUAAAAUAUAAAAUAUUAAUAUUUAAAAAUAUAUUUAAAUUUUAAAUUUCAAAAUUUAAAAUUUAAAAUUUAAAAUUUAAAAUUCAAAAUAAUUAUAAAAUUUAAAAUAUUAAAUUUAAAAUUUGAAUAUUUAAAAUUUAAAAUUUAAAAUUUGAAUAUAAAAAAUUUUAAAUUUUAAAAAUUCGAAAUUAUAAUUUGAAGAUUAUGUCACGCCCCAGAUUACACAAUUCCCGGGCACGUCGACAAAUCCGCCGUAUACAAAGAAUUUUCCUUGUAUACGAAGCGUAUCGGUAACUGAAAAUAUACAAUACUAUAACCAGUAGUAUAGAGCUGUAAAGAAACCAAACAGGUAGAAUAAAACAAGUCUUACGUACAUACAACAAAACGCUAUAUAAAGGUACUCGCUCCAGCAAAUUAUAACAACUAUAUAUACAUGAACUCAACAAAAUAAACCGAAACUACCUGCAAUGGUGGAUCCUCUAUCUCAGCAACUCGUCGGGUAGGGCUCUAACUCGCGACGCCCUUGCCUCGAUCAGCCUCGGAAGGCGCAGCAACUAAAACCGGUGGCUUUGCAAAACAGUGGUAACAACUGGGCGUGAGAACUACUGUAAAAACAAGUAGUCCUCAGUGGGUACCGUCCUCAACAUCAUCGGCCCACUCAUUAAGACUACAGUCAGAAACAAACUAGUAGUUGAAGCUGGAAAGAAAUCUACAGCUACCUGCCACUACACUAUCCAACUGUAGUAACUGUCAAAUCUGACCCAAUCUCAAUAGGGACUGUGAACACACCCGUCCCAGGGACUGUGAACGCACCCGUCCCGCCUGUCUAAGCCACGCUACCUCCACGCAAAACAGUCCGUGGAUAGCAAAACUAGUGAGUGACAUCAACGCGAAAGCACAAAGCCAAACUCCGGAGCGGCAACUCGUGGGCGCGACCCAACCGAGUAUGCAAGCGUAUCUCUGUCGAGCUCAAUCAGGCUCUCACAGGCUAAAGUCAAGAAAAUAAGUCCAAUUGGCUACUAACCACUAGUCACGUGCUCUCGGCACAAUCGGAUCUCAAAAUGACCAAAUCCGGGUCCACCGUUAACCGCGACGGCACCGACUAUUCCGGAACAGUCUAAACACUACUGUAAAAAUAGACUCGGCAUCCCAGCACGAGUGUAACAGUAAAUUAGACUACCUGGGGUACUCACCACAAGAACACUGCAACUAUAUAAAAGUACAACGGCCCCUAAGGCUAAAUCAGGUAGUUUAAUAUAUGACAGGUUCCGAACACUGGUUUUCUCCUAUAUUUUAUCCAAGUCCAACAUGUAUGAUUAAUAAUAGCUAAUAACAUGCUCCCAAUUCAGUUAAUAUGUCUAAAACAUACCUACUCCUGAAUUUGAGCUAAACAAUAACAACUUGUAAUAUUAACGAUACAUGUCGACCAACUAUACUAUAGGAGUAGGAUUUCGAUGAUAAACCCACCUCGAUCGCUAAUCCAAUCCGGCGCGACGUUGAGAACGGUGGAAUCGCACCCUCGCCCGACCUCCUCGCAACGCUACGGCAACAAACGUGCGCUCGAACGGCUCCACGACGCAACGUCGGCGACGAACGCUCCACUUGAGCUCCUCCUCCUUGCGUACGGCUCCAGAGAAAUACAGAGAGACAAGGAAACAAAGAAAUGCCCACCUUGACAUGUUGAUAAGCUUGCAUGGGAAAUGCACGUGGCAACCAAAGCCACACUUAGUCUAAG
rnacentral:lncRNA from 1 species